GUAGCCCGCCAGCUCCUCUGUCCCUGGGAUUCUCCAGGCAAGAUACUGGAGAGGUUGCAGGGGACACGGGUUGGAUCCCUGGUCUGGGAAGAUCCCACGUGCCUGGGCAACAGAGCCCCCAGUCGGCAACUGCUGAAGGCGCGGAGCCUAGACCCUGAACCCUGCAACAGAAGAAGCCUCCGCAGCGAGAGGCCUGCGGCUGCAACUAGAGAGUAGCCCUUGCUGGCCACAAGUAGAGAAAGCCCGUGUGCAGCAACAAAGACCCGGCGCGCCCCAAAAUACAUAAAUAAACAAUAAAAUAAAGAAGG